rnacentral:rRNA from 1 species
UGGGGAAUAUUGCACAAUGGGCGCAAGCCUGAUGCAGCCAUGCCGCGUGUAUGAAGAAGGCCUUCGGGUUGUAAAGUACUUUCAGUCGGGAGGAAGGUGGUAAGGUUAAUAACCUUAUCAAUUGACGUUACCGACAGAAGAAGCACCGGCUAACUCCGUGCCAGCAGCCGCGGUAAUACGGAGGGUGCAAGCGUUAAUCGGAAUUACUGGGCGUAAAGCGCACGCAGGCGGUUGAUUGAGUCAGAUGUGAAAUCCCCGGGCUUAACCCGGGAAGUGCAUCUGAUACUGGUCAGCUAGAGUCUUGUAGAGGGGGGUAGAAUUCCAUGUGUAGCGGUGAAAUGCGUAGAGAUGUGGAGGAAUACCGGUGGCGAAGGCGGCCCCCUGGACAAAGACUGACGCUCAGGUGCGAAAGCGUGGGGAGCAAACAGG